GCUAUACAUGUAUAAAAUCUCGAAUUAAGUUUAAUAGUAAAAUAAUUUUAAAAUGAAAAUUUAUUUAAUAUUAGUGACAUUAAGUGAAGUAAGUAUUAAAAAAUAACGUGGAACUGAAUUAUAUAUUAUUCUAGAAUUUAUAAUAAUAAGUUAUAUAAAUUGAUAUCACCAUAUGUUUGUUAAUUCAUUCUAAAUCCGCAAAAUAGGUAAUUUCUCGUUUAAGGGGAUUUUUCGAAUUUUAUGGCGGUUUUAGAAUACUAAAGUAUUUAAAAUAAAUGAUGGUUAUAUUUCGAUAUUUAUUAUCCGAUAGAUUAGGAUCAAA
rnacentral:rRNA from 1 species